rnacentral:misc_RNA from 1 species
GCGAGAGAGCAAGAUGGCGACCUCUGCUGUGGAGUGCAGUGUGUAGCUAUGCUGUGGGUGUGUGAUUCGGAGUGAGGAGUACGACAUGUAAACAAACCUGAGGCUGAGCUACAGGAUACCAAUUUGUCUUAAUUUGUCGUCUUUGUCAUUUCAAUCAGGCACAAUGGCUAGUGAUAAAGUGAAAGUGGCCGUUCGGGUCAGGCCGAUCAACCGACGAGAAAUUGAACUUGCGACGAAAUGCAUCGUGGAUAUGGAAGGGAAUCAAACAAUUCUUCAGCCUCACAACGACAGACACGAUGGAGGAGGGCGGAAAACUCCUAAGGUGUUUGCCUUUGAUCAUUGCUUCUGGUCCAUGGACGACAAUGAUCCAAAGUUUGCCAGCCAAGAGCACGUAUUUCAGUGUGUAGGCAGAGACAUUCUGGAGCGGGCUUUUGAAGGCUACAAUGGCUGCAUAUUUGCUUAUGGGCAGACAGGGUCUGGCAAGUCUUACACCAUGAUGGGCAGCCGUGUAGAAAAAGGCCUUAUCCCACGCUUGUGUGACAAGCUCUUUGAGUUCAUAGCCCAGCGGUCUCACGAUGAACUUUUCUGCAAAGUGGAAGUCUCCUACAUGGAGAUAUACAAUGAGAAGGUUCAUGAUCUUCUUGACCCCAAAGGAAGCCACCAGAAUUUGAAAGUUAGAGAACACAACAUACUUGGACCCUACGUUGAUGGCUUGUCAUGUCUGGCUGUUUCGUCUUUCGAGGACAUUGACAACCUGAUGAGCGAAGGGAACAAGUCCCGGACGGUGGCGGCGACGAACAUGAAUAGCGAGAGCAGCCGCUCACACGCCGUCUUCAACAUCAUCAUCACCCAGACCCUCUUGGACACUGCCUCGGGGGUGUCGGGGGAGAAGGUGAGCAAGCUCAGUCUUGUAGACCUGGCUGGCAGCGAGCGCGCCCAAAAAACUGGCGCCGUGGGUGAACGCCUCAAAGAGGGCAGCAACAUCAACAAGUCGUUAACGACACUAGGGCUGGUCAUCUCGGCCCUGGCAGAUCAGUCGUCAGGUCCGAGCAAGAAGGGAGGCAAGUUUGUGCCGUAUCGCGACUCCGUUCUCACAUGGCUUCUAAAGGAUAACCUGGGCGGGAACAGCAAGACGGUGAUGGUGGCCACCAUCAGCCCAGCGGCAGACAACUACGAGGAGACGCUGUCCACCUUGCGCUACGCCGACCGCGCCAAACGCAUCGUCAACCACGCCGUCAUCAACGAGGACCCCAACGCCCGCAUCAUCCGCGAGCUGCGCGAGGAGGUUGAGACGCUCCGUCAGCAGCUGUCCGAGGCGCAGAGCAUGAAAGCCCCUGACCUGCAGGAGCGACUGGUCGAGUCGGAGAAACUGGUGAAGGAGAUGAGCAAGACAUGGGAAGAGAAGCUAAUGGAGACCGAGCGCAUCCACCAGGAGCGCCACAAGGCCUUGGAGCAGAUGGGUAUAUCCGUUCAGUCGUCGGGUAUUCGUCUAGAUAAUACGCGCCCUUACCUGGUCAACCUGAAUGCCGACCCCUCCCUAAACGAACUACUGGUGUACUACUUGAAGGAACACACGCUGGUGGGCCGCCCCAAUGCCCAGACACAGCAGGACAUCCAGCUCAGCGGCCUGGGCAUCAUGCCGGAACACGCCAUUGUCGACCUCGAGAACCACGAUGUCUUCGUCACCCCGCUAGAGGGCGCCAGGACGUGCGUCAACGGCUCGGUCGUGACGGAGCGUCACCGGGUACGUCACGGAGAUCGCAUCGUGUGGGGCAACAACCACUUCUUCCGCCUGAACUGCCCGCGCCCCGCCAACAGUCCACAGAGCCCGGAGAACGAGGAGCAGCAGCAGCGUCUAGGCUAUGACUUCGCGCAGCAAGAGCUGAUGGAGAAGGAGCUGGGCAACGACCCCAUCCAGGAGGCCAUCGGCGCCAUCGAGAAACAGCAUGAGGAGGAUAAACAGGAGGCGCUGGAGAAGCAGCGACAGAUGUACGAGCGCCAGAUGCAGAUGCUGCGCAGUCAGCUGAUGUCCCCAGGUACCCCCAGCUUCCCCAUGCAGCUCUUCGAUGCACAGCGCCUGACGCCCACCACCGCCGCCACCACCAACAGCAUCCAACGAAAGUACCAGGAGUGGGCACAGGACAGGGACAAAAACUUCAAGCACAGCCUGGCAAAACUGAGAGAGGAGUUGGUCAAAGCUAACUCGCUGGUGCGUGAAGCCAACUUCCUAUCUCAGGAGAUGGGCAAGCAGACAGAAUUUCAUGUCACACUUCAGAUUCCUGCAGCCAAUCUCAGUCCCAACAGAAGGCGAGGAGCUUUUGUGAGCGAGCCAGCCAUCUUGGUGAAGCGGAAGAUGCGGAACAGCCAGAUCUGGACGAUGGAAAAGCUAGAGAAUAAAAUCAUCGACAUGAGGGAGAUGUACGAGGAGCGCAAAGCGACAGGGCAGCCCAUGAUGGUAGAAGACCCUAUUGAUGAACUCGAUGGCUCCAACUGGGACAACGGCCCUCCAACUGUUGGUGACCCGUUUUAUGAGUCACAAGAGAACCACAAUUUAAUUGGUGUGGCCAACAUCUUCCUGGAGUGCCUGUUCCAUGAUGUGAAGCUAGAUUAUCACGUCCCUAUCAUCAGCCAGCAGGGGGAGGUAGCUGGGAAACUUCACAUUGAGAUCUCAAAGAUGGGCGGUGCGGUGCUGGAUCGGUAUGUCGACUUGGCUGCUGAAAAUAACCAAGAGGAGACAACUGUGCCUAUGGGUGCACCACUCUUGAUUCGGGUGUGCAUACGCGAUGCUCGAGGACUGCCACCUGCCCUGUCACACUUUGUCUUCUGCCAGUACAACUUCUGGGGACAUUCCGAAGCUGUUGUGGUACCACCAGAAAUCAACCCAGACUACAUCAACAAGAAAGAUGAUGACAGCGUCUCCUUUAUAUUCAACCAUGAAAAGGUUUUCAGAGUGCCCAUCACAGAAGAAUUUAUAGAGUUUAGCUCCGAUGGAGCUCUGUCUAUCGAAGUGUGGGGCCACCGUAGCCAUGGUUUUGGCCAGCCUGUCACGGUUCUUGACACUGCCCAAGCUAAGUCACGGUCGGUUGCAGACAGGUGGAAUGAAGUCAUGCGCAAAAUCGAAAUGUGGGUUGAGUUCCAUGAGUUGAAUGAUCAAGGAGAAUACACACCUGUGGAAGUCAUCUCCAAACCUGAGGUGCCUUGUGCAGGUGCUUUUCAACUGAGACAGGGACAUUCACACCGUGUGCUAGUGAGAGUCAAGCCUGUGGCCAACUCGGGCACCUUGCCCCUCAUCUGUGAGUGUAUCACAUCCCUGUCCAUUGGCUGUCUGACCGUUCGGUCUAAACUACAGAAGGGGCUGGACAGCUAUCAGGAAGAGGACUUGACAGUGUUGAGAGACCGCUGGUCCAAGGCCUUGGCUCGUCGUAAACAGUACUUGGAUGAACAGAUACAGAAGCUCAUCAAUAAGCAAGAUAAGAGCGAGGCAGACUCAGAGAGGGAAAGAGCACUUAUUGAGCAGUGGGUGUGUUUGACAGAAGAGCGUAAUGCUGUUCUCUUACCUGCUCCUGGCAGCAACAUACCUGGGGCACCUGCAGACUGGGACCCUCCACCAAAUGUUGAGGAGCACUCGCCAGUUCUCUUCUUGGAUCUUAACGCUGAUGACAUGAGCACACCCAGUGUCAAGGAAGGCCUGCAGGCAGUGGGAGUCAACUCCAUUUUGCCCAAGGAACAUGGCACCCAGUUUGUCUCCCUUCCUCUCAUCAAGUGCUAUUCAGAGAUGGAGAACGUUUGUGCUAUUGCCUCCUGGGACUCCUCUCUGCAUGAUUCACCAAACCUAAACCGGGUGACUCCUGCCAGUGAGCGGAUCUACAUGGUAGUGAAGGCUGUGGUGAGGCUAAGCCAUCCUGCAUCCAUGGAACUGGUGCUACGCAAACGAGUGGCCAUCAACAUCUACAAAAAGCAGAGUCUUACCUCCCUUACCCACAUGCUAAAAAACAGGAUUAUUGGCUCUGAUUUCCUGUACAGCAGUGGAAUCAUAUAUGAGGUGGUUUCCAACAUGCCAAAGGGCUCAGAGGAACUGGAAGACAUGGAGACUUUGGCCCAGAUAGCUGCCUCCCACAAUGACACCUCUGCCAUUGAUGGCGAAACAUACAUUGAAAAAUAUAUCAAAGGGAUUUCUGCUGUGGAGAGCAUUCUUACACUGGAUAGACUUAGACAGGAAGUUGCCGUCAAACAACACCUGAAGGUGUCUGGCCGACCUUCCAAUUUGAGAAAAACAACAAGUGUGCCCAACAUCAAUCAGAUUGUCACUUCUCCUAUUGCGGCACUUGAGUACCAGCCACACCUAAGCUGGUCAGUCCGCUGUCCACUACUGGCAAGCUGGUCAAACCCAUGAUGACCCUUGUGGAAGAACAGCACCAACGUGAGGCGUGGCCCCUCCUGAGAAAAGACACAGAGGAGGACCUGGACGAGGAGGACGAGCUGCCAAUGCCUAAACCCCACGUGGCUCGCCGCCUGCUUGAUGCAGAUUUUGUCGAUACCCACAGCAUUGACUCCGAUGACUACCAGGAGUUCGAGUCUUACCAGUCCCAACAGACCAAGGGC